rnacentral:tRNA from 2 species
GACAAGGUGGCUGAGUGGUAAAGGAUGGACUCCUAGUCCAUUGUGCUCUGCACACAUAGGUUCUAAUUCCAUCCAUGUUG